rnacentral:lncRNA from 1 species
AUGCAUCAGCCGACGAUCUGGUUCUUUGAAAACCUGAGCAUGUCAGGUUCAGUGUUGAUGAUAUUCUUGGAAUCAGUCAUUUAUUCUUCUGCUGCUAAGAGCCUUUUCCUGCAUCUCGGUGGAAGUGAAAUGGAUUCUCUCUCUGUUAAUGUGACUCAUACCAGACUUCUGAAACCAUCACCCAAACAUGAGCAGAGUAGAUCUGCAGAUAGCAGAGCACCAAUACCUCUCUUCCUCUCCAAACUCCACCUUCAG